ACGGAGGGUGCAAGCGUUACCCGGAAUCACUGGGCGUAAAGGGCGUGUAGGCGGAUAUUUAAGUCUGGUUUUAAAGACUGGGGCUCAACCCCAGGAGUGGACUGGAUACUGGAUGUCUUGACCUCUGGAGAGGUAACUGGAAUUCCUGGUGUAGCGGUGGAAUGCGUAGAUACCAGGAGGAACACCAAUGGCGAAGGCAAGUUACUGGACAGAAGGUGACGCUGAGGCGCGAAAGUGUGGGGAGCAAACCG
rnacentral:rRNA from 1 species